ACGAACGCUGGCGGCGUGCCUAAUACAUGCAAGUUGAGCGCUGAAGGUUGGUACUUGUACCGACUGGAUGAGCAGCGAACGGGUGAGUAACGCGUGGGGAAUCUGCCUUUGAGCGGGGGACAACAUUUGGAAACGAAUGCUAAUACCGCAUAAAAACUUUAAACACAAGUUUUAAGUUUGAAAGAUGCAAUUGCAUCACUCAAAGAUGAUCCCGCGUUGUAUUAGCUAGUUGGUGAGGUAAAGGCUCACCAAGGCGAUGAUACAUAGCCGACCUGAGAGGGUGAUCGGCCACAUUGGGACUGAGACACGGCCCAAACUCCUACGGGAGGCAGCAGUAGGGAAUCUUCGGCAAUGGACGAAAGUCUGACCGAGCAACGCCGCGGGAGUGAAGAAGGUUGUCGGAUCGUAAAACUCUGUUGGUAGAGAAGAACGUUGGUGAGAGUGGAAAGCUCAUCAAGUGACGGUAACUACCCAGAAAGGGACGGCUAACUACGUG
rnacentral:rRNA from 1 species